UACGUAGGGGCCUAGCGUUGUCCGGAUUUAUUGGGCGUAAAGAGCUCGUAGGCGGUUUGUCGCGUCUGCUGUGAAAUCCCGAGGCUCAACCUCGGGCCUGCAGUGGGUACGGGCAGACUGGAGUGCGGUAGGGGAGAAUGGAAUUCCUGGUGUAGCGGUGAAAUGCGCAGAUAUCAGGAGGAACACCGGUGGCGAAGGCGGGUCUCUGGGCCGAUACUGACGCUGAGGAGCGAAAGCGUGGGGAGCGAACAGG
rnacentral:rRNA from 1 species